UUGGUCAGUACUCGGAAGGAUUAGCUGUGAAACUUUAUCUCUACGAGGGGUCCCUUCCAACUUUGCAUGGAAUACCUGCAGACGAGGGACAUGCCUCAGAGCAUCAUGCAUCAUCGGAGUUACCUGCUACAAGGGAUAUUGGCUGCAAUACUGAGCCACCUCAGAGACACCAUGUUGGCACACAACUCUCUUUGAAGACUCUUCGUUCACAUUACAGAAGUGAAGCAACUCCUGCAUUCUACAAGCUGGAGAAGGCGCUGACCAAGAAAACAGUCCUGACUGAGGGAUAUAGCAAAGCUCAGUCCCCACCACCAGACGUCCUCUUUGGAGGCAUUCCACGCCGUGAUCCUGCGGUUCGCCCCUAAAAAUGUGGUCUAUCCAUUUCUAGGAAUGCU